CCUACGGGAGGCAGCAGUGAGGAAUAUUGGUCAAUGGCCGUAAGGCUGAACCAGCCAAGCCGCGUGAAGGAAGAAGGAUCUAUGGUUUGUAAACUUCUUUUAUAGGGGAAUAAAGUUAUCCACGUGUGGCUGUUUGCAUGUACUUUAUGAAUAAGCAUCGGCUACCUCCGUGCCAGCAGCCGCGGUAAUACGGAGGAUGCGAGCGUUAUCCGGAUUUAUUGGGUUUAAAGGGUGCGUAGGCUGGUUUUUAAGUCAGCGGUGAAAGUUUGGGGCUCAACCAUCACAUUGCCGUUGAAACUGGCAGGCUUGAGAGUGGGUGAGGGAGGCGGAAUGCGAGGGGUAGCGGUGAAAUGCGUAGAGAUCACGCAGAACUCCGAUUGCGAAGGCAGCUUACU
rnacentral:rRNA from 1 species